AUUGAACGCUGGCGGCAUGCUUUACACAUGCAAGUCGAACGGCAGCGCUGGCUUCGCCCUGGCGGCGAGUGGCGUACGGGUGAGUAAUGCAUCGGAACGUGCCCAGUAGUGGGGGAUAGCCCGGCGAAAUCCGGAUUAAUACCGCAUACUCCCUGAGGGUGAAAGCGUUGGACCGAAAGGCCUCGCGCUAUUGUAGCGGCCGAUGUCGGAUUAGCCAGUUGGUGGGGUAAAGGCUUACCCAGGCGACGAUCCGUAGCUGGUCUGAGAGGACGACCAGCCACACGGGGACUGAGAAACGGCACAGACUCCUACGGGAGGCAGCAGUGGGGAAUUUUGGACAAUGGGGGCAAGCCUGAUCCAGCCAUGCCGCGUGAGGGAAGAAGGCCUUAGGGUUGUAAACCGCUUUUGUUCGGGAAGAAAUACUCUGGGCUAAUACCCCGGGGGGAUGACGGUACCGGAAGAAUAAGCACCGGCUAACUACGUG
rnacentral:rRNA from 1 species